CUAAGAUAUGUAUAUUUAUUUAGGUUAGCUACAGCUAAGUUUACAUGGCUAGUUAAUAUGCUUUUAUAAAUUGCAAUUUUUAUUAAUUUCCAAAUUAAACAUGUGGCAUCCAAUAUCAUAAACUAAGAUUAUACUGAAUUUACUGUUUUAGACACGUGGCAUGUGGUAUCCCACUACACUUGGUAUAAGCUGUCAUACUACACGUGGCAUGUGGUAUCCCACUAAUUAGCUAUUUUAAACAUGUGACAAGUGGUAUGACACUGUAUUGAUGUAUGUGAAAUGUAUAGUCUUUCAGUUAUCAGAUAAUGUCAAGGAGUUGACAGCAUGGUGUCCGAUUUAAAGUGCGAACCUGUGUACGAGUAACAACAGUAUUCAAAACCAAAACCAAUUUAAACCAACCAAACCAAAACUCUUGGCAUUGGUUUAUUUUAAACACCUAUUAUAUAUAUGUGUGUUUUUUGUAUAAAUGUACUAGCUUGAGU